rnacentral:lncRNA from 12 species
CACAUAUGCAAUGUUGGUUUUAAUUGUAAAACCAUUUCAAAACCAUUUGUGUAGUAGAGGUCUUCCUGGCUGAAGCUGUACCCUCCUCUGCCUCUGCCAGUGAGUGGAUCUUAAAUUGCUUCCCUUAUUCCCACUAAGACUCGAUAUACCUUGAAGAGGAAAAUUCCAAACCAGUGACCUUGGUAA